CUGAUUGAAACCGAAAGUAAAGUUGUUCUUUUGUUCAGGAUCCAUUUUGAGACGACAGAGCAGAAAACACUACAUGGAGAUUAUUGAAAAAUAAAGGGUCAGUUCUCUAAAAUGAGUCUCUCUGGGGAGAGAGAGGAGGGGGGCCCUGCCUCUAAAAUGAGUCUCUCUGGCGAGAGGAAGGAGGGGGGCCCUGCCUCUAAAAUGAGUCUCUCUGGGGAGAGAGAGGAGGGGGGCCCUGCCUCUAAAAUGAGUCUCUCUGGCGAGAGAGAGAAGGGGGGCCCUGCCUCCAAAAUGCAUCUCUCUGGCGGACAUAACACCAAAGCUAAGAGACCAAUCAAGCAGGAGAGACCAGCCUCCCCUGUUCCCAGCUGUGUGUCCAUGAAGAGUGACCGGUCUAUGGAUCCUCUUAUAGAGUUUAGAGAGGGAGACUUUUCUACUGUACAAAG